UAAGGAAUAUUGGUCAAUGGACGCAAGUCUGAACCAGCCAUGCCGCGUGAAGGAUGAAGGUCCUCUGGAUUGUAAACUUCUUUUAUAUGGGACGAAAUCACUUAUUCUUAAGUGUCUGACGGUACCAUACGAAUAAGCACCGGCUAACUCCGUGCCAGCAGCCGCGGUAAUACGGAGGGUGCAAGCGUUAUCCGGAUUCACUGGGUUUAAAGGGUGCGUAGGAGGGCAGGUAAGUCAGUGGUGAAAUCUCCAAGCUUAACUUGGAAACUGCCGUUGAUACUAUCUGUCUUGAAUACUGUGGAGGUGAGCGGAAUAUGUCAUGUAGCGGUGAAAUGCUUAGAUAUGACAUAGAACACCAAUUGCGAAGGCAGCUCACUACACAUAUAUUGACUCUGAGGCACGAAAGCGUGGGGAUCAAA
rnacentral:rRNA from 1 species